UUCAAAUCCCUACUCUCCUAAAACAAAUGUUUUUCUACCUCUUGAAGGCAAGGGUUUCCAGUGGUUCUAGGUGUUCCCCCUCCACUGCAGUUUCUGUAGGAUUUCCUCUGUGAAAACUUUAUAAUUUCUAAGUUCACUAUUUCUCUCGGUCACUCACUCUCUGUGUUUAAAAACAGUUUCACUUAGGCAUUGCUCAAUCAGUGCUAUUCUUACAUUCUUUUAUUUUUGGAGCUGGAACUUUGGACCUGUAAGAUGGCUCUGAGCAGUGGCCCUUGCUAAGAAGCAGUGAGCUCCAAGGCCUUUGGAAAUGGAGAGAGAUUGGGGUGACUCCUCUUCUGUUUGCUCUCCUUGCCAGACCUUGCAAUGAGUAAGCUGCCCUAUGCCCAAAAAGCAGGCUUUGGUCAGUGUUCAGGGCUGAGCACCAGCACUAUAGCCAGGCCAGAUAUCACCUGAAGACAUUUUCUUGGAUUUUUCAGGGUGCAGACUCCGCUGUGACCGCUGGCCUCAGCUGCUCCAGAGCUCAGUGACUGGCUGGGUGCAGCAGCAGGCUGAGGAAACAUGGCAAAGCUGGGAAGAGAGAAACCAGGUUCUUAAAGGGUUUCAUGCUGUUGGAGCAGAUGGAAACCGCCACAGCCACGACUUCUGCUCUGUGGGACGGAGCGCGUCGCUCUGCGCAGGGACAACAAUUACUAUCUCCUGUCACCACAGCUCACACGUGACCAGGAGGGCGGAUGCUGCAGCCCAGCAGGUGCAGGAGAUUCCACGAUGUGUUAUCUCUGGCCACGGACUGUCCUGUUUCCAGGAACACUCUUCUGAUGGACGAGAUAAGAGCCUGCCAGUAACUUCUCUUUGUGCAAAGGAGUUGGCAAGAAUGUCUUCAUCAAAAUGGCUUUGUAGUUGCAUUGGUUUCUAAGAAGUGCAGGAGGAAAUAUAGAUACAGCUGCAUGUUAUAUCCUAU
rnacentral:lncRNA from 1 species